UACGUAGGCAGCAAGCGUUGUUCGGAAUUACUGGGCGUAAAGAGUGUGUAGGCGGUGCUCUAAGUUUGGUGUGAAAUCUCCCGGCUUAACUGGGAGGGUGCGCCGAAAACUGGAAUGCUUGAACAUGGGAGAGGAAAGCGGAAUUCCUGGUGUAGCGGUGAAAUGCGUAGAUAUCAGGAGGAACACCUGCGGUGUAGACGGCUUUCUGGACCAUUGUUGACGCUGAGGCACGAAAGCGUGGGGAUCAAACAGG
rnacentral:rRNA from 1 species